rnacentral:lncRNA from 1 species
AUAUUUAAUAUUUAAUCUCUUAUUUAGUUUUAUAUUUUUGACUUACUGUAUGAUGACCCUCAAAUGUAAAACAAAUAUUGUCUAUUCUGGUUAUCAAGUUAAAUGUGAUGAAAAAUAAACUAAAGACAUGUCAACGUUACGUCAAAGUUAAAGGUUAGGCCUAUAAUUUGUUAUUAUAUAACCACUAACAUUAAAAGCAAAAGGAA